rnacentral:misc_RNA from 1 species
AAGACUAUAGACCUGCGGAGUACCUGCGGAAGGAUCAUUACCGAGUUAUACAACUCCCAAACCCACUGUGAACCUUACCUCAGUUGCCUCGGCGGGAACGCCCCGGCCGCCUGCCCCCGCGCCGGCGCCGGACCCAGGCGCCCGCCGCAGGGACCCCAAACUCUCUUGCAUUACGCCCAGCGGGCGGAAUUUCUUCUCUGAGUUGCACAAGCAAAAACAAAUGAAUCAAAACUUUCAGCA